GGGGAAAUGCUACGCCUGCAGAUUCAUUUUCUGCCACCGAAUACAUUAGCAUGGGAUAAUGGAAUAGGACCCUGUCCUCCUAUUUUCAGUUGGUUUUGGCAGCGCGAGGACUAGGGUAAUGAUUAAUAGGGAUAGUUGGGGGCAUUAAUAUUUAAUUGUCAGAGGUGAAAUUCUUGGAUUUAUGAAAGAUUAACUUCUGCGAAAGCAUCUGCCAAGGAUGUUUUCAUUAAUCAAGAACGAAAGUUAGGGGAUCGAAGACGAUCAGAUACCGUCGUAGUCUUAACCAUAAACGAUGCCGACCAGCGAUUAGGAGACGUUGAAUACAAAACACCACCAUCGGCGCGAUCGGCCUUGGCGUCUUCGUGUUCACGCACGACAGGCGCGAGGACGGUUUAGCCCGGUGGCACCGGUGAAUGACUCCCCUAGCAGCUUGUGAGA
rnacentral:rRNA from 1 species